rnacentral:rRNA from 1 species
CAUUCGGAUUGCAGGCUGCAACCUGCCUGCAUGAAGCUGGAAUCGCUAGUAGUCGCGGAUCAGAAUGCCGCGGCGAAUACGUUCCCGGGUCUUGUACACACCGCCCGUCACACCAUGGGAGUCGGGAAUGCCCGAAGCCGGUGACCGAACCGCAAGGACGGAGCCGUCGAAGGCAGAUUCGAUAACUGGGGUGAAGUCGUAACAAGGUAAC